AACCCCUACCAUGGACAAAGAGAAACCGUAUCGGUGGUGUUGUUCUUAUAUCAGUCAGGGGCAAAGCAGAUGGCAGAUCUUUGGUCAUCCUAACUUGAUGUUUGGCUUGGUAACCAAAGAUGUUUUCUGCCUAGAACUCAUAA